rnacentral:tRNA from 1 species
GGGCUUGUGGCGCAGUUGGUAGCGCGCUUCCUCGGCAGGGAAGAGGUCCCCGGUUCGAAUCCGGGCAGGUCCA